GACGAACGCUGGCGGCGUGCCUAAUACAUGCAAGUAGAACGCUGAAGAGAGGAGCUUGCUCUUCUUGGAUGAGUUGCGAACGGGUGAGUAACGCGUAGGUAACCUGCCUGGUAGCGGGGGAUAACUAUUGGAAACGAUAGCUAAUACCGCAUGAAAUUGCUUAUCGCAUGAUAAUUAAUUGAAAGAUGCAAUUGCAUCACUACCAGAUGGACCUGCGUUGUAUUAGCUAGUUGGUGAGGUAACGGCUCACCAAGGCGACGAUACAUAGCCGACCUGAGAGGGUGAUCGGCCACACUGGGACUGAGACACGGCCCAGACUCCUACGGGAGGCAGCAGUAGGGAAUCUUCGGCAAUGGGGGGAACCCUGACCGAGCAACGCCGCGUGAGUGAAGAAGGUUUUCGGAUCGUAAAGCUCUGUUGUAAGAGAAGAACGGGUGUGAGAGUGGAAAGUUCACACUGUGAC
rnacentral:rRNA from 1 species